AAGCUGACAAAAAAGGAGAGAAAAGGAAGGACUGCUAAGCCUUUUACAGCCGUCUUCGUACUUGACGAGAUUACCCACAUACCUUUGCGUCUCCGUCAUAUUGACUUCCAAUUAUGGCCGACUCUCAUGGCCAGUGAAUCGACCUUUUUAUAAAAUGCUUUGUGAUGCAGUAUUUUGAAUCCAAAAUCUACCAAAAUCGAAAGAUAUACGGCAAGCCAGUUGUCUUUGAGAAACUUUAGGAUGUCUAUAGAGACACAAGAGGAUGAACAAUGGAAACUCUUUCUCGAGGGUUCCAUGUUCGAGGAUCAUUUUAAUGAACUCGAGAAGAUUUGUGAAGAGGCUUAUGGUGGCCAUUCUGAGCUCUUUGAUGAUGAGUUUUUGAGGCCCAUUUGCUCAUUACUUCUAGAACUACGGACAUCAGCUAAGACAUUUUUCUCAAAUUCUGGAAUGAACGAGGAAAAAUGGCUACCAUGUUACGAGAGAUUUGUCACAUCUGUGAUUCAUCUCUCGCAGCUCGACAUCAACCUCCACAAAGGGGAAUUCUAUUUUCACUUGAACCUCACAUCGCCCGGCGAGAUCAUCUUGAAGUAUUACGAUUCCAAAAAGGUGAUGUCAUUGCCGCUGACCAAAAGCGAAUACGAUUGUAUAUGGGCUUCGAACUGGAAUGAACGAAAGUCGAAACAAAUGAAGAACAGGUUUCUUUUUUUUGAACUGUAUUGUGAGAGGCCAAGCAGGCAAAGGGUUUGAACGCAGACCGUGGAGGUACAUAAUGGCAUUUGAUACAAGGCACAGACGGCAAAGCAGCAAGGACUUGAAUACGGAGCUGAGCCCGCGGACGAGCAGUGUAAAUGCUUUCGUAAUGUCCACAGAUUUAAGCUCGAAACCAUUGACUAUACUUGAUGCAAACUUCAAAGUCAUUCUUAGCCAUGUAAUCUGAAUGCCAGGAGAUGCAACCAGGUAGCGUUCACAUUGCCUACAUCCUCGAACGAAAGGAUUCACAUCUAUUGAUGUUCAGUGCUGAUAAACUAAAAGAAAAACUUAAAUUUUAAUUCAAAUUGCUGUCGUCUUUUGAUGAUGUACUAUCUUCCAUUUCAAUGCAUCAAAUUCCCACGACCUUUGGCGGAAGCUUUGAGGUCGAUCACAAAGCUUGGCUGCAGUUUCGAUUGAAACAAGAACCUUUCAUAACGGGUUGUCGAAGGGCAACAAAGCUGGCUUUGACGGCAACAGAUGAACUUGGAAUACAAAAAUUUGGUGAAACGGUAGAAGAAUGUCAGAGAUUGUUCGAAGAACACGAUAAAAAAUUGAGCGCCAUCUUUUCAAUCUUUUCAGACAGCCGCCUGUCUGCGUUACAAGUCGAAGGUGAACAACUUUUGUCGGACAUACAGUAGACAGAUAACUCGAACAAAACACAAGACUGGAAAUAUACCAUGGAAAUUGUCUCGAAAUUAUAUUUCAAAAUGAAUCAAGUGUUCUCCAAGCUGGAAGUUUUGUAUAGAAAACGAAAACGAGAGUUAGAGGAUUGUCUGCAGUUCAAAUGCUUUCAAGAGGAAUACGUUAAGAUAUAAAAUUAUUAAGAUGUUUGUCCAGUUUACUGGAAGAGUUUUAAUACCAAACUAUACAAUAUCUUUGCCUGGUUAUCAAGAAAAUUGAAGUAAUAUUAGUGAAUUUGCACUUUGCUUUUUUAAAAACUGUUAAUCUGCUUCGAAUCUUUUUGAUCUCAUCCAGGAGUGAGCCUCAAUGGCGUUUGAUUGUAUUAAAUUAACAUAAGAACAACGCUGUUUGUUAGAUAUUUCUGAAGAAUGUUUAACUCUUACUUCAGCUGACAUAACUCUGGCUUUUGCUAAAAAUUUUACAUGACCGAAUAUUCUAGAAAUUAGAAAGUAGAGAAUAUUAUCUUUCUAGUGGUACUGA